rnacentral:tRNA from 1 species
ACCUGGCUGGCUCAGUUGGUAGAGCAUGUGACUCUUGAUCUUGGGGUCGUGAGUUCAAGCCCCACAUUGGGCA